GCAGUCGGACGGUUUGUCGCUGGUGAGUAGGUUGAAGUUUCGACCGAUACUGAAAGCGAGAGGAAAGUCCGGGCAGCACAGGGCAUCCCACUUCCUAAUGUAGAAGCAGUCGGCGACGGCUGGGGAAAUGCAGAAGAAAACAACCGCCCCGCAAGGGGUAAGGGUGAGAAGGUGGGGCAAGAGCCCACCAGCGGUGUGGUGAUACACCGGCUGUGCAUCCUGGUGGCUGCAAGUUCAUGUAAACUGGCGCCGGCAGGGGUGAAAGCCUGUCAGUGAGGGUAGCCCGCCCAAGCCAGAGGGUAGAACGCUUGAGCCGUGUGGUGACAUACGGUCUGGAUAAAUGACAAACGCCUGCGCUCAUUACUUGACGUCCGCUUUGCUGACGGCUCGUGCAGGUACAGAACCCGGCUUACAGACCGACUGCUUCC
rnacentral:RNase_P_RNA from 1 species